AACGCGAAGAACCUUACCUGGGCUCGAACGGCUAGUCAACGAUCGUGGAAACACGGUUACUCCGCAAGGGGGUCUAGUCGAGGUGCUGCAUGGCUGUCGUCAGCUCGUGUCGUGAGAUGUUGGGUUAAGUCCCGCAACGAGCGCAACCCUUGUCCUGUGUUGCCAUGCCGAAAGGCGGAACUCGCAGGAGACCGCCAGCGAUAAGCUGGAGGAAGGUGGGGAUGACGUCAAGUCCUCAUGGCCUUUAUGUCCAGGGCUGCACACGUACUACAAUGCUCAGUACAGAACGAUCCGAAAUCGCGAGGUGGAGGAAAUCACAAAAACUGAGCCCAGUUCGGAUUGUAGGCUGCAACUCGCCUACAUGAAGCCGGAAUCGCUAGUAAUGGCGUAUCAGCUACGACGCCGUGAAUACGUUCCCGGGCCUUGUACUACACCGGUACUA
rnacentral:rRNA from 1 species